rnacentral:rRNA from 1 species
GACGAACGCUGGCGGCGUGCUUAACACAUGCAAGUCGAACGGAAAGGCCCUGCUUUUGUGGGGUGCUCGAGUGGCGAACGGGUGAGUAACACGUGAGUAACCUGCCCUUGACUUUGGGAUAACUUCAGGAAACUGGGGCUAAUACCGGAUAGGAGCUCCUGCUGCAUGGUGGGGGUUGGAAAGUUUCGGCGGUUGGGGAUGGACGCGCGGCUUAUCAGCUUGUUGGUUGGGUAGUGGCUUACCAAGGCUUUGACGGGUAGCCGGCCUGAGAGGGUGACCGGCCACAUUGGGACUGAGAUACGGCCCAGACUCCUACGGGAGGCAGCAGUGGGGAAUAUUGCACAAUGGGCGGAAGCCUGAUGCAGCAACGCCGCGUGCGGGAUGACGGCCUUCGGGUUGUAAACCGCUUUCGCCUGUGACGAAGCGUGAGUGACGGUAAUGGGUAAAGAAGCACCGGCUAACUACGUG